rnacentral:rRNA from 1 species
UACGGAGGGUGCAAGCGUUAAUCGGAAUUACUGGGCGUAAAGCGUGCGUAGGCGGUUCGUUAAGUCUGUUGUGAAAGCCCCGGGCUCAACCUGGGAAUGGCAAUGGAUACUGGCGAGCUAGAGUGUGUCAGAGGAUGGUGGAAUUCCCGGUGUAGCGGUGAAAUGCGUAGAGAUCGGGAGGAACAUCAGUGGCGAAGGCGGCCAUCUGGGGACAACAC